AGCGGCAUGCUUCUUACGCUUCUCUUUUCUUCCCCUCUUCCUAUGCUCCUCUCUCUAAAAACACCAGCAGCUGAAGUUUCUUCCCCUCUUUCGCUGCCUUAGAUUCGUUUCUGUUGCUGCCAUGGCUGCUGCCACUGCCAGUAUCGUCGGAACUUCUUCAUGGAGUCUUAGAAGAGCAGCAGCUCAAGCUUUCGCACUCUCUCAAUCCCAUUUUCUCUGCUCUACCAAUCCCUACUUCUCUUUCCCAAGGACCCUUUGCACUCUGCCUCUCUCUGUUUCUGCUUCUUCAGCUUCAGAUGUAAGUCACACAGUGCAAGCUAUAAAGGGAGAUGUUGAUGAGCUACUGAAUGGAGUGGUAGAGAAAAGUGUAAUAAAAGAAGUGAAGCAUAUUCUUGAGAUGGCUAGACGUGCAUCAUUAAGACGAGAGAUUCUCCAUACAGAUUUUCUAACACCUCCAGUGCUUAAAGAAUCUAUGAAAGUUUUGGAAAAAUUAUCUGACGUGAAAGCAAUUGCUCAAGGAGGUUACCCCCAGGCUGAACGUUGUCGAAUUUCUGUUGGACAUCCGGAAGAACUGACAAGCGAUCCAGAUAUCAUUUCGGCAUUGAGUGUCUCUGGGAACUUUCGAUUUGAAUCUUGUUCUCAUGGUGACUUCCUUGGCUCAAUUCUUGGUACAGGAAUUACUAGGGAGAAAGUUGGAGAUAUUAUAUUGCAGGGAGAACAGGGUGCUCAGAUACUUGUCGUACCAGAGCUUGUUGAAUUUCUAAUGUCGUCAUUGGAUAAGGUUCGUAAUGUUCCUGUAAGUUGCAGUAAGAUACCAUUAAUUUCUCUUGAUUACGAGCCACCAAGAACAACCACGUUUAAAACUAUAGAAGCAUCACUCAGAGUUGAUGCCUUGGCUAGUGCAGGUUUUAAGAUUUCACGUUCCAAGCUAGUUGAUUUGAUCAGUUUUGUUGUAGCAAUGGUGAUGUGCGUAUAAACUGGACCCCUGUUACUACCAAAGGAACCACACUGAAAAGUGGAGACAUUGUAUCAGUUAGUGGAAGAGGUAGAUUAAAGAUUGGAGAAAUUAACUCAACAAAGAAAGGGAAGUUUGCAGUGGAGCUUAUUCGGUAUUUAUGAAACUUUCUACCUGGAGACUAGAGUUACUUUUAGAGCUUCUUUAUGUAAACAUUUUCAGGAAUUAAAAAAAAAGGGAAUAAACUACCAUUUUUAUCCAUGAAGAGUGAAUAUGCUGACGAAAUUACCUAUGAAAAAAAAAAAAAAACAACUCAAAACUUGUGAGAUGUACCCAUGACAAAAUGAGUUUCUUUUGACCAAAAAACAAUAAUGAUAAGCUACUAUUUCUACCUAUUCAAUUUCCAAAUUAUCCCCUCCUUCAUCUUCAACAUUCAUCCAGCUCACAAAUCAUCCUCAACCUUCAACCAAAUGCAUUUAGAUAGAAUAUAGGCACUGAAAAUUUGUCCAAAAAUUGAACUUUUUUGGGGCAAAAUAUACAAGGUCCCUGAGAAAUCAAAAGGGAUAUUAAAAGUUUUUCUCUGAUAGCACCACCAAAUAAAAAUGCAUCAACAGUAAAUGAAUUAAGGGGGGCACUGUUGGCGACUGCAAGAUGCGGGUAUGAGAAAGAGGAGAAGCACCUUGUUAAGCUAUGGCUCAUUUGUGACUUGGACUGAGAUUGCGAGUGCGAAAGGCUCAAAGUAGUGCUCGUUAGCAGCCUUGCUCUGCACCGGAACAUCUCCGGAAGCAUGUAAUAAGACAAGUCCAUAUCUGCCUUGAAAAGGAAAGAAGGCAUAGCAGCGCCACAGGGGUAGGCAAAGACGAAUGAAUGCGGCAAAGAUGAACAGAGGCAAAGGAGAUCAAGAGGGGAAAGGGUGGUGGUUUGGGGUCCAAGGGAAACUCGGGGUGAUUAGAUGGUGAGAGUUUCCAAGAGGUUGAAGACGAUAGAAGGAUAAUUUAGGAGAGUCUUUUAAUGGAGUCAAUGCAAAUAUCAUGGUUGAGUAUUUUUUCAUGUGACCAAUAAGAAUUAUAUUUGUACUUUCAUUUCAGUCAUCUUGUUUACAUAUUUGGCUGGACAAUUGUAUUUAUUUGAUGAAUUUGUAAUGAAAUCAAUC